UGAUCCUGGCUCAGAACGAACGCUGGCGGCGUGCCUAACACAUGCAAGUCGAGCGCGAAAGGAGCAAUCCUAGUAGAGCGGCGCACGGGUGCGUAACACGUGGGUAAUCUGCCUGGGUGUCUGGGAUAACCAGUCGAAAGACUGGCUAAUACCGGAUAAGACCACGGCCUCCUCGGAGGCAGUGAGAAAAGGUGGCCUCUGUAUACAAGCUAUCACACCUAGAUGAGCCCGCGGCCCAUCAGCUAGUUGGCGGGGUAAUGGCCCACCAAGGCGACGACGGGUAGCUGGUCUGAGAGGACGAUCAGCCACACUGGAACUGAGACACGGUCCAGACUCCUACGGGAGGCAGCAGUGGGGAAUUUUGCGCAAUGGGCGGAAGCCUGACGCAGCAACGCCGCGUGUGUGAUGAAGGUCUUCGGAUUGUAAAGCACUUUCGACCGGGACGAAAACCCCUAGCCCAACACGCUGGGGCUUGACGGUACCGGGAGAAGAAGCACCGGCUAACUCUGUGCCAGCAGCCGCGGUAAUACAGAGGGUGCAAGCGUUGUUCGGAAUUAUUGGGCGUAAAGCGCGUGUAGGCGGCUUAGCAAGUCGGGUGUGAAAGCCCUCAGCUCAACUGAGGAAGUGCGCCCGAACUGCAGAGCUUGAGUGCCGGGAGAGGGUGGCGGAAUUCCCCAAGUAGAGGCGAAAUUUCGUAGAUAUGGGGAGGAACACGGUGGGCGAAGGCGGCCACCUGGACGGUAACUGACGCUGAGACGCGUAAGCGGUGGGGGAGCAAACAGGAUUAGAUACCCUGCUAGUCCACGCCGU
rnacentral:rRNA from 1 species